rnacentral:rRNA from 1 species
GGGGGGUGCAAGCGUUGUUCGGAAUUAUUGGGCGUAAAGAGCGUGUAGGCGGCUGAAUAAGUCAGAUGUGAAAUCCCUGGGCUUAACCCAGGAAGUGCAUUUGAAACUAUUCAGCUUGAGUAGGGGAGAGGAAAGUGGAAUUCCUGGUGUAGAGGUGAAAUUCGUAGAUAUCAGGAGGAACACCGGUGGCGAAGGCGACUUUCUGGCCCUAUACUGACGCUGAGACGCGAGAGCGUGGGUAGCAAACAGGAUUAGAUACCCUGGUAGUCCACGCUGUAAACGAUGUUCACUAGGUGUUGGGGGUAUUGACCCUCUCAGUGCCGCAGCUAACGCAUUAAGUGAACCGCCUGGGGAGUACGGUCGCAAGAUUA